CCUACGGGAGGCAGCAGUGAGGAAUAUUGGUCAAUGGUCGGGAGACUGAACCAGCCAAGCCGCGUGAGGGAGGAAGGUACAGAGUAUCGUAAACCUCUUUUGUCAGGGCACAAAGACUGGGACGCGUCCCCGGAUGAGUGUACCUGAAGAAAAAGCAUCGGCUAACUCCGUGCCAGCAGCCGCGGUAAUACGGCAGGUCCGGGCGUUAUCCGGCUUUCUUGGGUUUAAAGGGAGCGUAGGCCGCAUUUAAAGAGUGCUGUGAAAUGUCCGGGCUCAACCCGGGCCUUGCAGCGCGAACUGGCGUGCUUGAGUCCGCGGAAAGCAGGCGGAAUUCGUCGUGUAGCGGUGAAAUGCUUAGAUAUGACGAAGAACCCCGAUUGCGAAGGCAGCUUGCUGCAGCGGAACUGACGCUGAUGCUCGAAAGCGCGGGUAUCGAACAGGAUUAGAUACCCCAGUAGUC
rnacentral:rRNA from 1 species